GCCGCCUUCGUCUAGCCCGGUUUAGGACAUCUCGUUCUCAACGAGAAGACCGCGGGUUCAAAUCCCGCAGGCGGCA
rnacentral:tRNA from 1 species